CGGAGAGCCGCUCCUCCUGCCGCGGUCCCGCCCACCGGUGCCCCUGUUAAGGCCCUGCCUUAUUUCCCAGCCUGGCUCUAAGCGUGGGAAAUGCGGAGCGCGUAAACUUGUUUUUGCCUUCUCCUAACAGCGCUUUCUCACCCCCCCGCACCCGUCCCUGCUCCCUUGGUGGCCGCCGCCGCCGCCGCCUUUCGCGCGUUUUUGUUCGGUCAGAGCUGAUAGAAUUCGUGAAGUCAUAAAAGGAGGAAAAGAAGGUUCCGGGCACGUGACUUUUUCUCCUUAUCUCAACGCAGGACAUUCUUAGUUAGAAAUAAAGUCCAUACGUUCUCGGGCACCUAUAGGCCUCCGUGAGGGUGUAAGCUUUCUUUCAUGAAAUCUGGGACUACGAUAAAGAUGACAAGAUGUUAUGACAUCCGUUUGCUGCUCAGCAGGUGGCUGACUAGCCCUAGCAGCUGUUUUCAACACACUAUUAUUGAAGGAAAAGGAAUGGCAGAAUCAAAAGAAUCAGCCUAGCGACUCUACAUAGCCACAAACGGAUCCCUUAGAUCAUGAACCACACCACUGAAAUGUUGGAUAGAUCAUCUUUGGAAUGGUAGUGGAAGUACACUUUCUGAAAUUUUCAGUCAUCAGUAUGAGCAGCUGGAUAUUGUUCACUGUUGUAUAUUUAGGUGUAGUCCUUGCUUUCUGACUGCUGUUUAACAACCAUUUGAAGUUAUGAUGGACUCAAAAAGUUACAACUGUCUUCAAGUUACUAUUGCUGCAACACUCUAUGGUCACAUGAUCACAGUUCUGCAUAUUUUACGUGACAAUGGGUGAAGUGCUGAAGGAAGAAUGAGGAGGAGAAGGAGAAGGAGAAGAAGGGAACGGAAGGGAAAAAAAGUAUAUUCAGUUAAGUUCUUUUUCUUCGACUCUGGCGUCUCCUGGUACAGCGAUAUCAAUAGAUAGUACAUUGUCGACAACUGUGAUAUCUGGCGUGUUGUAUUCCAAAUGAUGAUCCAUCUGUAUUCAAAAGACCCACAAGAUCUUCACCUUAUUUUCGACAUGUGUCGUGUAUAUAAAUAUCAGACUCCUCAAUUGAAUAAGAUGUUUUAGGACAACCAUGAGGAAGAUACGUCAGCUGGACUUUUCGAUUUAUGCCAGAAAAAUGUCCAUACCUACAAGCAGCAGUGAAAAUAUUAUAGAUCACACAAUACUGGUAAAGGAAAUACAACAGAUCAGAUGAACUGAUAAUUUAGGAUAUUACAAUACAGCUAUAACGAAGAACCGAUGGAUUUUAACUAUAUUUUACUAUAUGGAGAGAAAGCAACCAUGUUUACUGUUCAAAUUUUUAACCAAAACACCAACAAAAAUGUGCCACCCACAGAUAAGACAACUGUAUUUUUUUAACCAUGUUUUAUUUCGUCUGUACUUUAUCAUAUAUACUCAUGGAAAAAUCUAUCUGUGAUAAACUAAACCUGAUUUUUUUAGAUGCAUUUUGGCAACUAAAAUUCUUCCUUAUCUGUGGGCUAAUUGUCUUAUAUAAUUAGCAGAGAUCAAGAAGAGCAAUAAAACGUAUUAUCUUA